rnacentral:sRNA from 1 species
GGCAACAUCUGGAUCUGCUAAGUUUUGUGCAUUUCUCUUAAAGUUAACCAAGAACCUACUAUGUUCUUGAAAUGUUUUCUGGGAUACCUUAAAUAGCUACUCAUGCCAUCUAUCACCCCACGGCGAGAACGCAUAGCAUGGAGCAUCCACUUAUUGCUCAGUCACCCUAUAUCGAUUGUACCAGGAUGAUCUUUUAUGGUGAUCGCCAUCCGCACGGCCCUAGCCAGCAGCAAUGUCUGGUCACGCCCCAGAUUUCUCCAAGAUCAUCAACGCAAUCCGCAGCACCAGGUCAACACCCACCAAAUAUCAACCCAGCACCCC